rnacentral:rRNA from 1 species
AUUGAACGCUGGCGGCAGGCCUAACACAUGCAAGUCGAACGAGUGGCGGACGGGUGAGCAAUGUCUGGGAAACUGCCUGAUGGAGGGGGAUAACUACUGGAAACGGUAGCUAAUACCGCAUACCAUCGGAUGUGCCCAGAUGGGAUUAGCUAGGGGGUGGGGUAAAGGCUCACAUAGGCGACGAUCCCUUGCUGGUCUGAGAGGAUGAUCAGUCACACUGGAACUGAGACACGGUCCAGACUCCUACGGGAGGCAGCAGUGGGGAAUAUUUGACAAUGGGCGAAAGCCUGAUCCAGCCAUGCCGCGUGUGUGAAGAAGGUCUUCGGAUUGUAAAGCACUUUAAGUUGGGAGGCGUUACCAACAGAAUAAGCACCGGCUAACUUCGUGCCAGCAGCCGCGGUAAUUC